GAUGAACGCUAGCUACAGGCUUAACACAUGCAAGUCGAGGGGAAACGAUAUUGGAAGCUUGCUUCCGAUAGGCGUCGACCGGCGCACGGGUGAGUAACGCGUAUCCAACCUGCCCAUCACUUGGGGAUAACCUUGCGAAAGUAAGACUAAUACCCAAUGAUAUCUCUAGAAGACAUCUGAAGGAGAUUAAAGAUUUAUCGGUGAUGGAUGGGGAUGCGUCUGAUUAGCUUGUCGGGGGGGUAACGGCCCACCAAGGCGACGAUCAGUGGGGGUUCUGAGAGGAAGGUCCCCCACAUUGGAACUGAGACACGGUCCAAACUCCUACGGGAGGCAGCAGUGAGGAAUAUUGGUCAAUGGGCGAGAGCCUGAACCAGCAAAGUAGCGUGCAGGAUGACGGCCCUAUGGGUUGUAAACUGCUUUUAUAAGGGAAUAAAGUGAGUCUCGUGAGACUUUUUGCAUGUACCUUAUGAAUAAGGACCGGCUAAUUCCGUGCCAGCAGCAGCCGCGG
rnacentral:rRNA from 1 species